AGUGAACGCUGGCGGUAGGCCUAACACAUGCAAGUCGAACGGCAGCACAGUAAGAGCUUGCUCUUACGGGUGGCGAGUGGCGGACGGGUGAGGAAUACAUCGGAAUCUACUUUUUCGUGGGGGAUAACGUAGGGACACUUACGCUAAUACCGCAUACGACCUACGGGUGAAAGCAGGGGAUCUUCGGCCAUUGCGCGAUUGAAUGAGCCGAUGUCGGAUUAGCUAGUUGGCGGGGUAAAGGCCCACCAAGGCGACGAUCCGUAGCUGGUCUGAGAGGAUGAUCAGCCACACUGGAACUGAGACACGGUCCAGACUCCUACGGGAGGCAGCAGUGGGGAAUAUUGGACAAUGGGCGCAAGCCUGAUCCAGCCAUACCGCGUGGGUGAAGAAGGCCUUCGGGUUGUAAAGCCCUUUUGUUGGGAAAGAAAAGCAGCAGGUUAAUACCCCGCUGUUCUGACGGUACCCAAAGAAUAAGCACCGGCUAACUUCGUG
rnacentral:rRNA from 1 species